GCUCUGUGUCCUCUGCUCCUAGAGGCCCGGCCUCUGUGACCCUGUGACCUGCAGGUAUUGGGAGACUCACAGCUAAGACACCGGGACCCCCUGAAAGCCUAGAAAUGGAAGACCUGAGGUCUGGAAUGUAUCCUCUCAAGGGAGCAAGUGGAUGCCCUGCGGCUGAGAGGAAUCUUCUGGUGUACUCUUAUUUUGAAAAGUAGAGACGGGGUUUCACCAUGUUGGCCAGGCUGGUCUCGAACUCCUGACCUCAGAUAAUCUGCCUGCCUCGGCCUCCUCAAGUGCUGGGAUUACAGGCAUGAGCCACUGUGCCUGGCAGGUAGGAAAAUAUUUAUAAAGUGCAUAAAAGAGGUAGGUUUAAAAAAAAUUAAUAUCUAAUUUUAUAUUCCAUUUGUUAAAAAUUCUCAUUUACCUUUUUCUUUCCCAGAGUGAGUUUUGUACAGGUUUUCUCAGGUGUGUUUUUUUUUUCUGGCUGGGUGCAUUCAAACAGAAUUCCAAGGCUUAGCUUUUAGAAUGCUAGCUACCAAGGAAAAGAAUAGGGGAAAAUCUCUAUUCUAUUUUGACUGUAGAGAAUGAAUACAUUUCCAUGAGAUAAUAUGGUAGAUAAUUGGUGAGUUACAUAGAUUCGUGAAAAUAUCAGUUCCUCUUUUUGCAGGGUAAAUUUGUGACAGUGAGUAUCUCUAUUAAAAUCCUGUUAUCUUGAUUUCUGAGUUUCAUGCUAAAUUUUAUGAGAUGAAACUUGGUGUCACCUAGAAGUGUUCCCGUAUGACUAAUUGUUUACUAUGUGGUUUUUAAUGAAAACAAUAAAAUAAUAGAUAUGUUGACUGAAAGGAAUAGAUACUUUUGCUUUUCUUAUUGAGGUACAAAAUGUAAGUACCUUAAAAUUUCCUUCCCUAUGUUUGAGUAAUUUUGCUGGAUUUUUCAAACACAUAAUUUCAAAAACCAAGUGAGUAACUCUAACAUGGAAAUUAAAGCUUGAGCCCAGUGACUAAGAGCUAAGGCUAAUAUUGAGGCUGCAAAAGGAGGUUAUUAAAGACCCACCUACGUGGUGGCUCACGCCUGUAAUCCCAGCAUUUUGGGAGGCUGAGGUGGGUGGAUCACGAGGUCAGGAAAUCAAGACCAUCCUGGCUAACACAGUGAAACCCCGUCUCUACUAAAAAUACUAAAAAAUUAGCCGGGCUGAGGCUGAGGCAGGAGAAUGGCCUGAACCUGGGAGGCGGAGCUAGCAGUGAACCAAGAUCACGCCACUGCUCUCCAGCCUGGGCGACAGAGCGAGACUCCAUCUAAAAAAAAACAAAGAAACAAAUAAAGGCCAUUGUAGUUUUUUUCUGGGUAGCCUCCCCUGCAGAUGUCCAGCCUGCUCACCCUAGCCAUGGAAGAAGCCUUUCUGCUGACACAACCCUGGAAAGCUGGGGACCCACAGGCAAAGGCAGUUAGGGUUAAGAUGAAAGGGGACUGACAGGGUCUUACUGAUGAUGAUGUUACUGUUUUGAGGCAGUUUCUAGACUUGGAUAUCAAACAAAAUUAGAUUUAUGUUAAAAAAAAUUGAAUUCCAAAAGAGUAUUGCAACAGGAAGAACUACCAAUUAUAAAAACUUUUAUUGGAAAGUUUAGGCUGACAAGGGCUUCCUUUCCUAGGGAGGAGCAAACAAGAUUAGAGAGAAGGUGGGAGGGGAAUGGCAAAUGAAGGGUGAAAAAUCAGAUUUUAGAUCAGAGAAUGUUUUGCCAUGAAGUCAGCAUGUUCUUAGAAGUACAUAAAAUAAGGUUGUAUGUUGACUCAGACUGAGGAUAGUUCAAAGUUCUGGAGCCUGUGAAAAAUUUUAUUUAGCCCACUGAAGACAAAUUCAGCUGAUUCUUUUAAUUGGAAAAAGAGGAAAAUGUGCAGAGUUCUUACCGGAAAGAGGUCCCAAUCUAAGCCCCCCAAGAGGGUUCUUGGAUUUUGCUCAAGAAAAAAUUCAGGGUGAGUCCAUAGAGUAAAGUAAAAGGAAGUAUUAAGAAAUCUCAAGGUCAGAAGUUUGAGACCAGCCUGAUCAACAUGGUGAAACCCCAUCUCUACUAAAAAUGUAAAAAUUAGCCAGGCUUGGUGAUGCACACCUGUAAUCCCAGAUACUCAGGAGACUGAGGCAAAAUAAUCACUUGAACCCAGGAGGCAGAGGUUGCAGUGAGCUGAGAUUGUGCCACUGCAGUCCAGCCUGGGUGACAGAGUGAGACUGUCUCAAAAAAAAAAAAAAAAAAAA
rnacentral:lncRNA from 1 species